rnacentral:rRNA from 1 species
UUCAUGGAGAGUUUGAUCCUGGCUCAGGACGAACGCUGGCGGCGUGCCUAAUACAUGCAAGUCGAGCGGACAGAUGGGAGCUUGCUCCCUGAUGUUAGCGGCGGACGGGUGAGUAACA